rnacentral:lncRNA from 1 species
AUGGAGUUGUAUCUCCCAUGCCUAAACACUGCCAUAGCUGGAAUCUUAGCCAUACUUCUGUUUUCCUACUUUAUCAUAAAGAGAUCAUGCUCUGGUGCCAAAGCCAAGGGUUCCAAACCACCAAAAGUGGGAGGUGGGUGGCCUCUGUUAGGUCAUCUCUACCUAUUCGGAGGAUCUCAGCUGCCUCACAUAACUUUGGCUUCCUUGGUCGACAAAUAUGGACCAAUCUUCACCGUCAACAUUGGCAUC